rnacentral:rRNA from 1 species
AUUGAACGUUGGCGGCAUGCUUUACACAUGCAAGUCGAACGGUAACAGGCCGCAAGGUGCUGACGAGUGGCGAACGGGUGAGUAAUGCAUCGGAACGUGCCCAGUCGUGGGGGAUAACUGCUCGAAAGAGCAGCUAAUACCGCAUACGAUCUAUGGAUGAAAGCGGGGGACCGUAAAGCCUCGCGCGAUUGGAGCGGCCGAUGUCAGAUUAGGUAGUUGGUGGGGUAAAGGCUCACCAAGCCAACGAUCUGUAGCUGGUCUGAGAGGACGACCAGCCACACUGGGACUGAGACACGGCCCAGACUCCUACGGGAGGCAGCAGUGGGGAAUUUUGGACAAUGGGGGCAACCCUGAUCCAGCAAUGCCGCGUGCAGGAAGAAGGCCUUCGGGUUGUAAACUGCUUUUGUACGGAACGAAACGGUCUGGGUUAAUACCCUGGGCUAAUGACGGUACCGUAAGAAUAAGCACCGGCUAACUACGUGCCAGCCGCCGCGGUAACAC